rnacentral:rRNA from 1 species
AUUGAACGCUGGCGGCAGGCCUAACACAUGCAAGUCGAGCGGGGUUUUCGGACCUAGCGGCGGACGGGUGAGUAAUGCGUAGGAAGCUGCCCGAUAGAGGGGGAUACCAGUUGGAAACGACUGUUAAUACCGCAUAAUGUCUACGGACCAAAGUGUGGGACCUUCGGGCCACAUGCUAUCGGAUGCGCCUACGUGGGAUUAGCUAGUUGGUGAGGUAAUGGCUCACCAAGGCGACGAUCUCUAGCUGGUUUGAGAGGAUGAUCAGCCACACGGGAACUGGGACACGGUCCAGACUCCUACGGGAGGCAGCAGUGGGGAAUAUUGGACAAUGGGCGCAAGCCUGAUCCAGCCAUGCCGCGUGUGUGAAGAAGGCCUUCGGGUUGUAAAGCACUUACAGCGAGGAGGAAGGGUUAGUCGUUAAUAGCGGCUAAUUUUGACGUUACUCGCAGAAGAAGCACCGGCUAACUCUGUGCCAGCAGCCGCGGUAAAAC